CCUUAGGCCAAGCGGCCAUUUUGUACGGGGACCUUGUGGUAUAGGAGCUUGUGGUAUAGGAGCUGCUGUGGAGCGGGUGGAGGACGCGGUUCUGAGGCGGGGUCUGGAGAAGCCGGGGCCGGUCGGCUUCUAGCAGACGAGGCCGGAAGCGUGAUUCUUCUGAGGGCGUGGGUGAAAGUCAGCCCGGGGAGACGGCUCUCUCGUUUUGCUGAGGAGCAGUGAAAACAUCACCACAAGGACUGGCAUUAGUUCUUGAAGCAGCACUCGAGAUCCAUCUUUUUUUUCCCUUGAACCUCAGUUUGGCCAUCUGUAACACGGUUAUCCUCUAUCCAGUUAUCCUGAAUCUGGUAUUCAGCAUUACUGCUGACCACUUCACAGUUUUUUUAAGAGGAUUUGAUGGAAUGGUGGUUAUGUGUGUGCCCCCAGAGUCCCAACACCAUGGGUUCUUCAUAGUAAGCAUUCAACCAACUUGACAUCAGGGAGACCCCAGGUUCCUGAAAAGUUGACGAUGGGCUUACGUAUCACGGACUACUUCAAAGAAGGAAGACACCGCCAACCGGGAUGGUGAGGGGUUUCCAGGGCCCCUGGUACAAGGGUUGAAUGGACAUGCCCUUUUAUUUUAUUUUGUUGCUCCACUCUCUCCCACCUCCAGGCCUUUUGCACACGACUGUAUGUGUCAUGUUGAGAAGCUGGAGUGAAGGUAGCCGCCCACAGGUGUUGCUCCACACUUGUGAUUCUGGCAAAGAAAUUCCUGAACCUCUGUUGCUCGUGCUGCCUCACCUCACCCCAUCCCCAGUCUUUGAAGGGUCUGUUGUGCAUUUGCUCAAAAAUGCCCUAGAAUCCUCCUCCCUCACUUUCGAUUUGGCUCCAUGGCUGACUCUAAUUUGGAAUCCCAUGAAGAACUGUGUAAAGCCUGGUAGUCACGGAUUUUACAAAUGCCAUGGCUUCCCUUUGCAGAUGCAGAAAUGCCCGAGAACUUCCCCACCAGUACUCCCCUUUCCAGUGCCAGAUAGGCAGGGCUGGUGAAGGCCGAGGCCUUCACUCCACAUGGGUGGGCCAGCUUGGCAUCAGUCAGCAUCUCAACAGGCUGGAUAAAUCAGGAUGGCACAAGAUGUUGGGUUCAAGCCUUGCCCAGUUGUUCAUCAGAGCUACCUGGUUGAUUUUAUCUCCACCUGAUUACCUGAUCCCAGAGUUCAAGAUCUUAAAUCUCAAACAAGAGACUGAAAAGCAAGUAAUUUCCUAAAAAGACUUAAACAUUAAUAUCAUAUUUGUGGGAACAGGGAGUGGACAGAUAUCCUUUUUUUUUUUUUUAAUUUGGGGGAGUGGUCCUUUUGAAAUUCACAUGAAAAAGAUGAGUACUCUUAGACUCCCAAAUCUGAAGUGGCAUUUAAAUUUAAGUCCUUUUCUUAAUGUCAGAGACGCUUUCUGACAUUCCUUAUGCAUUCUGCAAAGCUUUAUUGGAUUUUUCAGUCUAUUUUAAAGACUAGGAUGUCUGUACCUACAGUGGAGUAAGGCAGCUCAUUUGCCUAAAAUGUCUGGGAAAUCAUUCCAAAGAAAAAUUACUGAGAACAUUCUCUUCUGAUAUAAAAGAAUAUGGUUUAUUCACCC